rnacentral:tRNA from 1 species
AAGAUCUUAGGUUAAAAAAACUUUAGUCCUUCAAAGUCUGAAUUAAAGAAAGAUUCUUUAGAUUUUA